rnacentral:rRNA from 1 species
UCGUACACUCCGAAAUGCUUUUAGGAGCAGCCUUAAUUAAUAGACUAAUAGAGGUAGAGCUACCGAUCAGAUAAGGGGGAGUCAAAUCCUACCUUCUCUAGACGAACUCCGAAUGCUAUUAGUUGUUUUUUAGGAGUGAGGACUAGGGUGAGAAGAUCCUAGUGCGAAAGGGAAAGAACCCGGACCAUCCGCUAAGGUCCCCAAAUGUAAGCUAAGUUGAACUAAGGUAGUUCAUCUGCUUAGACAGCCAGGAUGUCGGCUUGGAAGCAGCCAUCAUUUAAAGAGUGCGUAACAGCUCACUGGUCAAAUGCGGCUGCACGGAUAAUAUAACGGGGCUCAAGCCUGACACCGAAGCGACGGGUUGGUCUUCGGACCAGCAGUAGGGGAGCGUUGCCAGCACGAAGAAGCCACAGGGGAACCCGUGGUGGAGCGCUGGGAAGUGAGAAUGCUGGCAUGAGUAGCGAGAAAUAUGUGAGAACCAUAUUCGCCGAAAGUCUAAGGUUUCCGACGGAAGGUCAGUCCGCGUCGGGUUAGUCGGGCCUAAGCCGAGGACGAACGUCGUAGGCGAUGGACAGCUGGUUAGUAUUCCAGCACCACUAGCAGGGCGUUUUAAGGCAGAGGAGUGACCCAGUAAGAUAGGCGGAUCGUGCCCAUUGGACAUGGUACGUCCUUGGGGCGUAGGCGUCUGGUGAUAGUUAAAUGCGUCGCCAGGUUAAGCGGAGGCCUCGAGGCGAGUGGAGACGUCAGUCAAAGCGAGUCCGUUGAGUCUACACUGGCAAGAAAAGCUUCGUUGCUAGCACUGUUGGUGCCCGUACCGCAAACCGACUCUGGUGGGCGGGGGUAAGUACCCUUAGGUGAUCGAGAUAACCCUCGUUAAGGAACUCGGCAAAAUAGCUCCGUACCUAUGGUAUAAGGAGUGCCUGCAGUUUUUACGAGGAGUAGGGACUGCAGGUCGCAGUGACUAGGGGGUCCCGACUGUUUAAUAAAAACACAGGUGGUCGCUAGUCCGAAAGGAUGUGUAUGGCCUCUGUAUCCUGGCCAGUGGCGGUACCUAAAACCUGAGUUCAAUUGGGCUAAGGGCCGCUAAACGCCGGGAGCAACUCUGACUCUCUUAAGGUAGCCAAAUGCCUUGUCGGGUAAGUUCCGACGUGCAUGAAUGGAACAACGAGAGCCCCACUGUCCCCGCCUACAACCCGGUGAAGCUACAUAAGGUGGACGAACAGUCCAUCAUCUUCCAUCGGGGAGAGAAGACCCCGUGGAGUUUUACUGCAGCUUGUGCUUGCGGUAUAGUUGACAUUGCAUAGUGUAUCUGGUAGCCAUGCUUAACAUCCUCCGGGGUGUUAAGAAGCGCCGUUGUAACACCAGACCUUGUUUGCAGUAUCGCUUAUCAGGUGAAGACCUGAGACACGUGCAGGUGGGCAGUUCGGCUGGGGCGGCACCCCUUUGAAAAGAUAUCAAAGGGGCCCAAAGUUCAGCUCAAACGGGUCAGAAAUCCGUUGAAGAGGGCAAAGCCAAAAGCUGGAUUGACUGGAUCUCCAAACGCACGGGAUCCAGAGACGAAAGUCGGGCUUAGCGAUCCUUCGUGUGCCCACUAUUGGGGCCCGGAGGUGACAGAAAAAUUACCCCAGGGAUAACAGGCUCGUCGCGGGCGAGAGCUCCUAUCGACCCCGCGGUUUGGUACCUCGAUGUCGGCUUUUCCUAUCCUGGUCCUGCAGCAGGGGCCAAGGGUGAGGCUGCUCGCCUAUUAAAAGGGAACAUGAGCUGGUUAGACCGUCGUGAGACAGGUCGGUCCCUAUCUGCCGUGGGCGUGGGAGGCUUGAGGGGAUUCCCCCCUAGUACGAGAGGAUUGGGGGGGACCGACCUCUGGUGUGCCGGCUGUCCCGCUCGGGGCACCGCCGGGUAGCCAGGUCGGGACCGGAUAAGCGCUGAAGGCAUCUAAGCGCGAAGCCCCCCCCGAGACGAGGCUUCCGGCAUCCAACAGGGUGCGAAGGCUCCUGGAAGACGACCAGGUCGAUAGGCCGGGUGU